rfam:Picea glauca, whole genome shotgun sequence.
UCUUAUAUACACGCCUACAAUGUUAAUGCACCAAAUCCCAUUGGAGAUUUGCAUUUAAGUGUGCUUGGGCUAGAGUAGUAAUGGGAUAGGUGACCUCUCGAGAAGUCCCAAUGUUUUACAUGCC